UUGUUGUACAGUGAGUGUAUAUUAAUAGUCUUUCCGACAUCACGAGGGUGAGUGAAAGAACGUUUAUGUACGAAAUGGCGUUCAGACAUAUUUUGAUAUAAGAGACUAGUGUGAUAGUUUCGCGUAUAAGGUUGAGGCUCUCCGAACGUGGUCAGGUAUUCACCUAGCGACCUCGAACGUGCGAAAUAAUCAUGGAAAUCCUAACUGUUUUGGAAGAUCAACGUAGUAUAUGUUGAGAAGAAAUUAUUUACGUAAUUCCUUACAUCAAAACUAUAAGUAAACGGUCUAAAGUCUUUUACGCCGUUGACGAUUGUACUAAGCCUGUCUGAAAAUUCGUAGCUAUGCUCACUCUUUUAGAGUAGCAUCAGUUGUGGAAGUGAACAGCUUUUGGAAAACGCUGUUAAGCUCAAAACAUCUAUCAUUGUGAUGGUAGUUGCAGGCAGAAGGAGAACUUCUAGUUAAAUAAGACUUACUGAGUAGCUAGUUGCCCGUUCAGUUAGUUUCAGGUAUGAAACAAGAGUAUGUACCUAGGGUAGAGUCUAAAGUACCGGAAUUUGGUAAAGCGCCUUGGAUCCGAGUAGUAGCGAAAGAGUAUCAAGCAUCCAAAGAGUACCAGAUCAUUGUACUGAAGGUCUUGUCUUAAUGGCAUGGUGACACCACGCCUUGCAUGAGACCAACUGGAUGCUCCAAGCCAUCAUUGAACUAGACUUCAAAGUACUAGUAGUAGUAAUUGAAGGAGUGAUUAACCACAUCCGUAGUGACAUUGACUAAAGACACUACUUGAUGAAAGGUUAAGCCCUCUUCCAUGUUAAUGAAGUAGUUCAAGAUGAAAGGAAAGUGAGUGAAGAAAGCUCUCUUUUGAGGAAGAAAUCUUUCCUAGGUGAGAAUCGUUGUUUCUAGAACGGAAGCCUAGACACUAUCUUCUACAUUGGUUCUCAAAGAAAACCCAUAGGAUACUUCUGCGUGAAGAACCUAACCCCAAACUCGAAUAGUCCAACUUUGAAAAAGUGUAUUCGUAGUGUUGGGGUUUGAAAUUCUUUGCUGUCGAAUACAAAGAACGAUUUGGCGUCAAGUAUACUACAGCAGAGUUGCCUAAAUCUACUACGGGAUAAAUUACACUUACGUCAACAGAAAUUACGUAUUGGGGUUUUACUAUCACCAUUAAGCCAUUCUCUGUAGUAUUUAACGUGGUAUAGAUUAUUUCAUGCCAAUACUGCAAGACUGUGUGGUAAUGUAAUACCACAAAGUCCACCGUACUCAACUCUUUGAUAAGGCGUAACGAAGUUUACUUCUGGUUUGAGCAUUGAGUUUAUAAAUAAAGGCACUAGUAUAGCAUCUUUGAAAUAAAAGAACAAUGCUACUAAAGGUGAAGUGAGACUUUAAGAAACUUGAAAAAUUUAUAAAGUCUGAAUAUAAAGUAGUUCAUCUAUAUGGAUAUAGACGAGUUUAGUAGACACUUACAGUCUUUUAUUGCUAUGGGCGGCGCUCGGAGUUGUGAGUAACCUGGCGUGUGAAGUAUGAAUUAACUCUAGCUACGAUACACAGUUGUACCACAACACGACUGGGCUCAAAAGAUACCUACAACUCCGAAGUAUCAGAAGACCAUCGAGAAACAUAAAACAAUAGGUAAACCGAUCCAUUCAUUAUAACAGGUACGCAUACGUCUGAUACUUAGUUAUCUUCGAUCGGAACACUCACUUGUACCUGUUAUUCGUUUCACUUGUACAAAUGCGUCUGAGACCACAUAGUACAGAAAUGCUGAAUGUACAAGGGUUAAAUAGUACCUCGUACGAUAAUUGUAUUGACUUAAAAGGUAACGUAUAUACGAAUAUAGGUCAAAUGUCAAAUAACGAAAGUUAACAAAUAGUUUACAAACACGGUAGAUAUAAAAGAGAUUAGGAAGAUAGUAAGUAAACACUCUUAUCUGAUCGAGCUGUUACACACUCAAGGAAGGUUUUUGUUUUGGUCUCAACAGUCUAGAGGGUAAUCAAAAAAACAAUAAUUAAAAACGAUUAUUAAGUUAAACUUCUCGUACUACUAAACGUACGUAAAAAGAGAAAUCAACAACGUUCCAUAGUUACUCCAAGGUGUAGUUUACGUAAAAGGGGAACUCAACAACGUUCUCUUGCUGAUAAAACGAUUAUAAAGUUAAACUUCUCGUACCGAUAUGUAGACAAACUCGCAGCUGUCUCCCUCAGAACCUAGCGCGCAGUCCGGCUGGGAGGCUCUCUGACUCGGCCGUACAGUAGAACUCUAAAUGCUUCAGUAGCAUCCGCAGAGCAGUAGCUGCCUUUGCAGAGGAGGGUGACUUUCGCCUAGCGGCUUUUAGGACUUUAUUUAGGUCCUUAUUACGCUUGUAGUCUUAAACUUGGGACCACCCAACCACUAUAGUGACAAGUGGAUUGAUUGAGUUGGAGUUCAACUAAGCGUCUAUCUAGUAAAAAUUAUCCCCACUACGUUUAAGCAUGAAAUAGGAUGAGGUGUUGGAAAACUAGCCCCCAAGAUUUUUUUUUGGAAAACUAAACCCUCCUCCGUUUAGGUGGGCUCAGCAGAGCUUCUCAAAUAUGGUCCGGAACACAAUUCUUUUUGUGGCCUCUCUUUUCUUUUUUUUUCAUGACAUCGAUAGAGGCCGGGCCUGGCAUGGGUUGGGGCUGAGCAGGGGGGAGCGGCGUGCGUGUCUGCGGCCGCCGGUGGUACAGUCGCGCCCUGGCCCUCUGCUAGCUCCGCGAGCGAGCGCAGCGCCGGCGCGACCUGCCCCGUCACGAGCCGGAGCCGUGCCGCCGCGAGCGCCGGCGCAGGGACCGGUUCAUGGAGCGGCGUAGGCCCCGCGAGGCGGAGUAGCGGCUCCGCGGCCGGGAGCGCUAGGGGCUGGAGGCGAUGAGGGAGGAGCGCCCCGAGCCGCUGCCGCUCAGCGCGGAGCGGCAGCACGCCCCGGAGCAGGCGAGGGGCGGGCCCCCGUGCAAGGAGUAGGGGGGACCGAGGGCGCUCGUGACGCAGCAGUGGUCCGUGUGGGUCUGCACGAACAAGCCGCUUACCUCUCCGUAGAAACCUACCUGAAAACUGGAUGUACGAGAGAAAAAAUUUAGUAACUUUCUCGUUUAAUAUUGUAGUAGAGCUACCCAAAGCAAACCAGAACAGCUAGGACGAAGGCUCUUUAGUCCCCUUUACCAUGUACACUUCAAACUACCCCGACAAGUAGUCAGUAAUGGAGAAUGUUGACACAUAGUGUUCGAAUAGGGUCAACUCGUUUUAAGAAUGUGUAACAAAGUCUGAUAACAACCGUUACCGAUAGGCUAACGCAAUAACCUACUCCUUUUCUAAGAAGGAUAGCCUUUCCUCUAAUGUCGUUAUCCGAAUACAGCUAAUUUCUUAGCUUCACAACUCUAGUCGAGCACGGGUCUCGAGGGUAUAAAGAACAGACUAGACUGGUUCCCACUCUACCUUCGGCUCUACAGGAGUGCACGAUCUAAGAAGAAGACCCAAUGACAACGAGAACCUUGGCACAGUCAACCGAAUGAUCCGGUACGGUAAAUGUCCAAUACCCUCUCUCAAUUUGCCGUGUCUCUCCGUUCUCUUCGAGUUCUUUCUAAAGUGCUCCGACUGUUACUUCUACUACGACCUCUUUUACCGUCGCUGCUGCUCGGACCACUUUACCCACUGCCCGUCGAUACACAGUAUACGAAUUCCUUUUCUUCCGCCCGUCGAAAACAAGGAACACCAGUAGAACAGACGACAACGUUGACGCGCUUUUCCCACCUUGAGUACCUACUUGGUAACACGGGACACACAUCCGUUCUGUAGGUUAUGUACGAGUCCCAAAUGCUGAGAAUUCCGAGGAACGACUACACCGGGUUCGUGGCCGUCUCAACGCUGAGGUUGCCGGGUAGGAGGACAGGACCCACGAGAGGCAAAAAACAAGGAUCGAAUCCAAUGACGAUGGGACUUUCAUACACUUAUAUACUGACGCGAUAGAUUGGGAGUCUUUGAUCCAAUGGUCAUGAACGAUCAAGUCGGACACUUAUACCUAAUACAUACUAGAAUC
rnacentral:rRNA from 1 species